rnacentral:rRNA from 2 species
UACGUAGGGACCAAGCGUUGUUCGGAUUUACUGGGCGUAAAGGGCGCGUAGGCGGCAUGUUAAGUCAGCUGUGAAAUCUCCGAGCUUAACUCGGAACUGUCAGCUGAUACUGAUGUGCUAGAGUGCAGAAGGGGCAAUCGGAAUUCUUGGUGUAGCGGUGAAAUGCGUAGAUAUCAAGAGGAACACCUGAGGUGAAGACGGGUUGCUGGGCUGACACUGACGCUGAGGCGCGAAAGCCAGGGGAGCAAACGGG